GACAGAGGGUGCAAACGUUGUUCGGAAUUACUGGGCGUAAAGCGCGUGUAGGCGGCCCUGUAAGUCGGGUGUGAAAUCCCACGGCUCACCGUGGAAGUGCAUUCGAAACUACAGGGCUAGAGUUCUGGAGAGGAAGGUGGAAUGCUUGGUGUAGAGGUGAAAUUCGUAGAUAUCAAGCGGAACACCGGUGGCGAAGGCGGCCUUCUGGACAGUAACUGACGCUGAGACGCGAAAGCGUGGGGAGCAAACAGG
rnacentral:rRNA from 1 species